UCACAGAAAGAGAGUGCGUUCCAAUUUUUUACCUUUUAAGGCCUCAUGUCAGAUUUUGCAAUUGAAUUUUUUUGUGGAAAUGUAAAACAAAAAGUUCAUCCGGCAAACGAGCGUUGUCAGUAAGAGUCAUACCUCUGCCGAGUGCCUCUACUUUCAUCCAUGCAGUCAUGAGACUCAUCUUGGCGUCUUUGUGUUUCUCUGUGAUCGUUGUUGUCGUAUCUCCAGCUCAAAACGGUGGCAAUAAAAAUGCAGGUGUUGGAGGAAGAGUUGGACAAGUAGUAGAAUGGUCAAAACAGCAGGGUCAAAAAAUCAAGGACGCCAAUAUCGUGGAGCGAGUUAAAGAUCAAAUUCCAGGCAGGCCCAGAAAAACAGAGACUGAACAACAAACAGAAUCAAAGCACCCUCGUGUUCCGUGCGUCCAGCACUGUGCUAAUCUUUUCGGUUUCGUCUUCGAGUCGCUCUCAACGGACAGGAUCCUGAGAUUUUCUGAGGGUAUUAUCAUUCCUAUUACCAAAGGGAUAGAAGUCGAGGGGACCCAAAGAAACCCGGAAAAUCAUUCAAGUUUGGCCAACGUGCACAAACACAUACCUGCGUAUUGUAAAUGCGAAGCAACGGAUGGAUUCGCUCGUUUUCUGGAAGACAACGAAUUGGAUAUUGAAAUCUUUAAUUUUCAUAAAAAUAAUGACAGGAUACAGGCUGCUGUGGAUUACAUAUACGACGGCACCGUCAAGUUGAACAAAAAGUAUGGGGCAAAGACUUUCACGUACAUUGAUCAUCGAGGCUUGAUGACGUUAAUGCUUGCUGAGAUGAAAAAAGUGAAAAUAUACGAUCCUGAUCGAUGGAUGUACCCUGAGAGAGCCGCAAUAAAUGUACAGUAGACUCUGGAUUAUCCGGAUUAAUUGGUGCCGGGCCCGAUCCGGAUAAAAAAAAAAUCCGGAUAAUAAUAGGAAACACAAACACCACCAACCAACACCACAGUAUUCUUAUUAUUUAUACAUCAUGUACAUACCAACUUAAACGGGCUUGAAGUAGGCAGUCAACGGUCUCUGCCUUUUAGAAUCCGCGUGUUUCUUGGAUGCCAAAUCCCGCCAGCGUUGUAAAUAACUGAUGUUGAUUGCCGUUGAUUCCGACUGCUCCGCGAUGUAGUUGAGCGCACCUAUUAGGGACUUGUAUCCUUGGGAGUGUGGAAUGGAAACACAGGCUGGUUCACUGUCGAUCCGGAUUAUCCAGAGUCCGGAUAAUACGAAGCCGGAUAAUCCAGAGUCCGGAUAAUACGAAGCCGGAUAAUCCAGAGUCCGGAUAAUACGAAGCCGGAUAAUCCAGAGUCCGUAUAAUACGAAGCCGGAUAAUCCAGAGUCCGGAUAAUACGAAGCCGGAUAAUCCAGAGUCCGGAUAAUACGAAGCCGGAUAAUCCAGAGUCCGGAUAAUACGAAGCCGGAUAAUCCAGAGUCUACUGUAUCGUAAUCCUCGAUUGGUCUCUAUUCGAACGGAUUUGAGGAUACAAAAUAUUCACCCAAGUCUCUCACAAAACACUUGUAUGAAAGAAUGUACUGCUAGAGCUACAGGUUCAAAUGAAAUCAAGUUAACAAUUUAAACACUUAAAAUUCUGCUAUAAAUGUGUCGAAUUCAUCACAUUCAAAGUAUUGGGAGUGACUUUGUUUGUCCUCGAUGCUCAGUCCUCUAAAUGUAUGUUACUCAUUAGGAUUUCGCACAUUCAUCUAACACUUCUUUGCCUGAGAGCCCUGGGAGUGAAUCAUAUGAAAAAAUCAUAUUGGGAAAUUCCAGGAUUUUAAUUUGCUAUUUUGGAUAUUUUUCAAUCCUUUUGGUCAGUUAUUUUCAAUAGUCUAUCGGGAAGCGCCCACUGUCUUAUAGCCGAGGAGGCGUAGCCAUAUUUCCUCCCAUUAGUUUAGCUUUUACUCUUGGUUUUGAGUAUUUUUUACCAUGGCGCAUAUUCAUGGUAUCACAAUCUCUGUUGAAAAUGUUUUUUCAUCAAUGCCUGUUUUCGUUCUGAUAUUUUUUGUGAAUAUUCUCCGUGCCGAAGUAAAUAUUGAUGGCGAAAAUGCGAAAUCUCGUAACUAUUGCGGUGUUUCAAAUUUUCCGCUCCUAAUGAAUUUUUUAAAGGAGAAACAAGCCAAAUUUGUAGCUUUCUACUGACGGAAAAAAUCAAGGAAGUUUUCGAGAAAUUCCUUUGACUUGCUUUCCAAAUAAAAGCAGGGUCUGACAGAAAGUCUGCACCGUUGCGGACGAACAAACGUGAUUUCGCACUUUGGCCAUUGAUAUGUAAAUUCAAAUUGACAACAAAGGCGCGAACUCAAUCUUCCGUUCGAAGUUUUUAAAGUCGGAUGUUACUUUACAUUUACGUAAGAGCACAAAACAUAGCUCGAAUAAUGUUGCCCAUUCAAUGUUUUAACCUUGUUUACCCAUAUUUUAAUUCCCUCCCUAUUCAUUUGAACGUAUUUAUCAUUUAAUCGGAAAAUUAGCUCUUUUUAGCUUUGCAACUUUGCGUAAAGAAAUUCAUACAUUCCAUCUAAAAAAAUUCUUGAUUAUGAGGUUUUAAAUAAUUAAUUUACUUGAUAUUCAGUAUUUGAUUAUUUCAUUUGAUCUCUGAGAUGACCAAAGUCCAGGAUUUUAUUUUUGACUAUAUUCGUUAGUGACAUUCUGUAUUAUAGUGAAGGUUGAUUAUAGUGAAGAUUGAAUUUGAAAGUGUCUUCUCCUCCCACCUAAAGUGUCGUCUUUGGUUCUAAGAUAAAAUCAACGUGCAGUCGUUUGUAUCUAUCUAUGAUCAGUGUACUAUGUAUAUCCUAUUCACCAAGCCUGCUUUACGUCAUAAAUCGAUUAAAGUGGUUGUGUGUGUCCAUUUAUUGUCUUAAUUUGUUAACAAUUGAUUCCCAUUUUUCUCGUUUGAUCGCUCAAGAUUUCUAAUUCACUCGCUGAGAGCUCAGCUCUGAAUCAAAAAGAACUUACUAAACUAUCGGUCUGUCAAACUG
rnacentral:lncRNA from 1 species